rnacentral:rRNA from 1 species
ACGGAGGGUGCGAGCGUUGUUCGGAAUUACUGGGCGUAAAGCGUACGUAGGCGGUUGGUUAAGUCGAAUGUUAAAGCUCGGAGCUCAACUCCGUAGAUGCAUUCGAUACUGGUCAACUAGAGGGUGGCAGAGGAAAGCGGAAUUCCAAGUGUAGCGGUGAAAUGCGUAGAUAUUUGGAGGAACAUCGGUAGCGAAAGCGGCUUUCUGGACCAUUCCUGACGCUGAGGUACGAAAGCGUGGGUAGCAAACAGG